UAGGGAAUCUUCGGCAAUGGGGGCAACCCUGACCGAGCAACGCCGCGUGAGUGAAGAAGGUUUUCGGAUCGUAAAGCUCUGUUGUAAGAGAAGAACGUGUGUGAGAGUGGAAAGUUCACACAGUGACGGUAACUUACCAGAAAGGGACGGCUAACUACGUGCCAGCAGCCGCGGUAAUACGUAGGUCCCGAGCGUUGUCCGGAUUUAUUGGGCGUAAAGCGAGCGCAGGCGGUUUAAUAAGUCUGAAGUUAAAGGCAGUGGCUUAACCAUUGUUCGCUUUGGAAACUGUUAAACUAGAGUGCAGAAGGGGAGAGUGGAAUUCCAUGUGUAGCGGUGAAAUGCGUAGAUAUAUGGAGGAACACCGGUGGCGAAAGCGGCUCUCUGGUCUGUAACUGACGCUGAGGCGCGAAAGCGUGGGGAGCAAACAGG
rnacentral:rRNA from 1 species